rnacentral:rRNA from 1 species
UCAAGUGACUAAGUGCAUGUGGCGGAUGCCUUGGCGAUCACAGGCGAAGAAAGACGCGGUAGCCUGCGAAAAGCUGCGGGGAGCUGGCAAACGAGCUUUGAUCCGCAGAUAUCUGAAUGGGGGAACCCACACCGCAAGGUGUAUCCGUAACUGAAUACAUAGGUUACGGAGGCGAACGAGGAGAACUGAAACAUCUAAGUAUCCUCAGGAAAAGAAAUCAACCGAGAUUCCGGCAGUAGCGGCGAGCGAACCCGGAGGAGCCUAGCUUUUGAUAGUACGAACUUUAGCCGAAAGGUCCUGGAAAGGCCUGCUAUAGUGGGUGAUAGCCCCGUAGGCGAAAGAGUUGGUACGGUACUAAGGAAGCGGGAAGUAGAGCGGGACACGUGGAAUCCUGUUCGAAGACGGGGGGACCAUCCUCCAAGGCUAAAUACUCGUGAUCGACCGAUAGUGAACCAGUACCGUGAGGGAAAGGCGAAAAGAACCCCGGGAGGGGAGUGAAAUAGAACCUGAAACCGCAUGCAUACAAACAGUAGGAGCCUCAUCAGAGGUGACUGCGUACCUUUUGCAUAAUGGGUCAGCGACUUACAUUCUGUGGCGAGCUUAACCGAAUAGGGGAGGCGCAGCGAAAGCGAGUUCGAAAUGAGCGUCCAGUCGCAGGGUGUAGACCCGAAACCAGAUGAGCUAUCCAUGGCCAGGUUGAAGGUGUGGUAACACACACUGGAGGACCGAACCGACUAGUGUUGCAAAAUUAGCGGAUGAGCUGUGGAUAGGGGUGAAAGGCUUAACAAAUCUGGAGAUAGCUGGUUCUCCCCGAAAACUAUUGAGGUAGUGCCUCGUGUAUUGCUCCAGGGGGUAGAGCACUGUUAUGGCUAGGGGGACAUGGCGUCUUACCAAACCAUGGCAAACUCCGAAUACUUGGAAGUGUGAGCACGGGAGACAGAGCACCGGGUGCUAACGUCCGGACUCAAAAGGGAAACAACCCAGACCGCCGGCUAAGGUCCCAAAUAACAGCUAAGUGGAAAACGAAGUGGAAAGGCCGUGACAACCAGGAAGUUGGCUUAGAAGCAGCCAUCCUUCAAAGAAAGCGUAAUAGCUCACUGGUCGAGUCCUUCUGCGCGGAAGAUGUAACGGGGCUAAGCUGUUAACCGAAGCCGCGGAUGCACUGGUUAUCCAGUGCGUGGUAGGGGAGCGUUCUGUAAGUCUGCGAAGGCGGUUCGAGAGGACUGCUGGAGAUAUCAGAAGUGCGAAUGCUGACAUGAGUAACGUUAAAGCAGGUGAAAAGCCUGCUCGCCGUAAGCCCAAGGAUUCCUGCUCUACGUUCAUCGGAGCAGGGUGAGUCGGCUCCUAAGGUCAGGCCGAAAGGCGUAGCCGAUGGGAAUCAGGUUAAUAUUCCUGAACCUGCGUCAGAUGCGAUGGGGGGACGGAGCAUGGAAGAUCAUCCGGGUGUUGGAAGUCCCGGUUGUUGAGCGUAGGGGGUCUGCAGGCAAAUCCGCAGACGCAUCUCCAAGGCAAAGACACGUGCCGCCACGGCGGCGAAGUGAUCGGAAGUGCUUCCAAGAAAAGCCUCUAAGCCCCAGUCUGACGCGGACCGUACCGCAAACCGACACUGGUGGGCGAGCUGAAUAUGCUCAGGCGCUUGAGAGAACUCGGGAGAAGGAACUCGGCAAAUUGACACCGUAACUUCGGAAGAAGGUGUGCCGUAGUACCGUGAGAGGAGAGACACCUUGAGCGGGAAACGGUCUCAGAGAAUAGGUGGCUGCGACUGUUUAUUAAAAACACAGCACUCUGCAAAGUCGAAAGACGACGUAUAGGGUGUGAUGCCUGCCCGGUGCUGGAAGAUUAAUUGAUGGGGUGAGAGCCCUUGAUCGAAGUCCCAGUAAACGGCGGCCGUAACUAUAACGGUCCUAAGGUAGCGAAAUUCCUUGUCGGGUAAGUUCCG